GAAGAAAGAGAUCAAUAAGACCUCACUAGUGUGCAGUAUUUACUGUAAACAGCCCAAGGUGGUUUGGGGUUGGGGUGAACUGUCAACAUAGAACAGUUCUUUCUCAGGGACUGUGGGAGCAGGUGUUCUAAAAGGAAGGAUGAAGAUAGCAGUUGCAGUGGGAUGGGCAAUGAGACCCUGGGCUCAGGGAAGUCACUGAGGGUUAAUGUGGCCGGGCAGCCAACGUCACAGCACACGAGGCCCCUGCCACAUCUUACCCACACAUUUCAAGAUCCUGUAUCGCCACAGUGUGUCAUUACUUUGAGACCAUGGACUACUUUCUCAAUUCUUCAGCAGAGAGGUUUUUUCCAAAGCACACAAAUGCUAGUGGUGGAGCUGGUUUAAGGCCAAGAAUCCUCAACUGACAAAGAGCUCAGUAAGCCCUGGGUAGGAUAAAAAAUGCAGGUGUGUCUUGCCCUAAAACAUCUCAGGAUGAAAGAACUCGUUGGAAGUGCCUCUCCAUCCAGAUUUUGUCUAAAGCGUUUAAAGGCGGCUCUCUUUCAACAAUUAAGCUGGUGUGGGAUGGAAGAGCUUUCCUGCAGUUAGGGAAAAACCUUCUCCCUCUUCCUCUUUCCCAGUUCCAGUUGCUUUUGAGUGACAGGCUAACCUGAGCCCUGAAGCCAGAUUCAGAAUUACUAUGGCUUUGAAUUUGAUCUCUUAUUGUUCUAUACUGAAAGAGCAAUAUUCUUUUUGAGAAAGCCUCUCCUAAUUCACCAGUUCCAGAAGGCUGCCUGCUUCCCUGGCCACAGGGGUAGGCUUGGCUGUUACCUUCCCAAAUGGAAAAUGAGGGUGUAGAUUUCAUUGCCCAUUACUGCCCACUUCUCCUGAUCUACCUUUGAUGAUACCAGAGUGGAUUACAUUAUUUGGACUGUAUGCUAUCCUGGGCUAUUCCGAGGACAACACUUGAAACGGGAAAGAAUGAUGUGCCUGGGCCCACCAGAGAUUAUGGGAAACCUUGAUGCUGUUUAUCACCUUGAUUCAAAUUUCAUGUUCACAGCCUGAGUCUACAAAGAAGAGAAACAGAAGAGGGAAGCCUGGUGUAAAACUCUUUCAUUCCAUUCUUGUCUGUCUUUAUCUGCUCCAACUGUGAGGGCUGCUUACCCUAGAAGCAGAUCAAUGCAGAGAUGGACACAUUUGCAGCACCUACAAAGGGUGAGAAAAGACAGGGGAUUCCCAGGCACCGGAAGAAUGAGGAAAACAGUGACCUUUGUUCCCAGGCUACAGAAAAAUGCUGUAUCUAAACUGACAUCGGCCGGCUGGAUGGCAUUUAGAAGCCAAAUGAACUGCUGUUAAGCGGCGAGGUCAGGGGUUCAGCUAAUUGUGGAACCACGGGCACUCCCCACAGACCCAGAAAUCUUUGUAAUCUAUGGCUUAGGGACAUACAUUGUGAAGGUGAUUUUUACAGUUCAUCUUUGAAAAUAGAAAGA
rnacentral:lncRNA from 1 species